rnacentral:rRNA from 1 species
UGAGGAAUAUUGGACAAUGGGCGCAAGCCUGAUCCAGCCAUGCCGCGUGCAGGAAGACGGUCCUAUGGAUUGUAAACUGCUUUUGCACAGGAAGAAACACUCGGACGUGUCCGAGCUUGACGGUACUGUGAGAAUAAGGAUCGGCUAACUCCGUG